UCCGUAGGGUAACCUUGCGGAAGGAUCAUUACUGAUUUGCUUAAUUGCACCACAUGUGUUUUUCUUUGAAACAAACUUGCUUUGGCGGUGGGCCCAGCCUGCCGCCAGAGGUCUAAACUUACAACCAAUUUUUUAUCAACUUGUCACACCAGAUUAUUACUUAAUAGUCAAAACUUUCAACAACGGAUCUCUUGGUUCUCGCAUCGAUGAAGAACGCAGCGAAAUGCGAUACGUAAUAUGAAUUGCAGAUAUUCGUGAAUCAUCGAAUCUUUGAACGCACAUUGCGCCCUCUGGUAUUCCGGAGGGCAUGCCUGUUUGAGCGUCGUUUCUCCCUCAAACCGCUGGGUUUGGUGUUGAGCAAUACGACUUGGGUUUGCUUGAAAGACGGUAGUGGUAAGGCGGGAUCGCUUUGACAAUGGCUUAGGUCUAACCAAAAACAUUGCUUGCGGCGGUAACGUCUACCACGUAUAUCUUCAAACUUUGACCUCAAAUCAGGUAGGACUACCCGCUGAACUUAAGCAUAUCAAUAAGCGGAGGAA
rnacentral:rRNA from 1 species